CAAGUUAAAGCUAUAAUUUAGCACUUUAUUUACACUAAUGAGAAUAUUGUUCAAUCAAUAUAACUUGA
rnacentral:tRNA from 1 species